rnacentral:ncRNA from 12 species
GGUAAGGUGGCCGAGUAAUAGGCGGCGGAUUGUAGCUCCGUGUACAGAGGUUCAAGUCCUCUUCUUAUCA